AACGCACCUUGCGCUCCUUGGUAUUCCGAGGAGCAUGCCUGUUUGAGUGUCGUGAAAUUAUCAACUCCCUUUCUUUGUUGAAAGGUGAGCUUGGACUUGGGGACUUGCUGGUUUUCAAUCAGCUUCCCUUGAAUGCAUUAGCUGGACUUUGAUUUGCAGCAUAUAUGCGGUGUGAUAAUGUCGUCACUGUGUAGCUCAAGUCGUUUGGCUUCUAAUCGUCCUUUCACGAGGACAUUCUGAUCAAUUAGACCUCAAAUCAGGUAGGACUACCCGCUGAACUUAA
rnacentral:misc_RNA from 1 species